rnacentral:rRNA from 1 species
UACGUAGGGGGGCAAGCGUUGUCCGGAAUCAUUGGGCGUAAAGAGCGUGUAGGCGGCCCGAUAAGUCCGCUGUGAAAGUCCAGGGCUCAACCCUGGGAUGCCGGUGGAUACUGUCGGGCUCGAGUCCGGAAGAGGAGUGUGGGAAUUCCUGGUGUAGCGGUGAAAUGCGCAGAUAUCAGGAGGAACACCAAUGGCGAAGGCAGCACUCUGGGGACGUGACUGACGCUGAGACGCGAAAGCGUGGGGGAGCAAACAGG